UCAAGUCAAAACUUUCUCAUUGGAUUUGUAUAUUCAUGUAGCCUCCUAGAAUGCUCUCCGUGGAAUCAAGGUUUCUGGGUGCCAGCUGCAAGCGUGACAGUCUCAGUUUGUAUCUCCAGCCUGCACAUAAAACUGGCUGGGCCAUGGAGUCAUAAAUUCUUCCAUCUUUGUGGAAUUCUUGGCAUUCAGGAACUGCUCUAACAUUAUAGUCUUGAUAUGGGCUCCAUCUUUGAGUUAAACAUUGUUGCAGCCUUGUAUAUUUUGCUCCAUCCAUGUACAGCGGGCACAUGAGUGUCAUAUGUGGUAUAUUCAUCCUACAAGAUAAAUCAAUAAUUCUGGGCUCCAUCUUGGAGUUUAACAUUGUUUUAGCCUUGUAGAUAUCACUCCAUCCAUGUACAGUAGGCACAUGAGGGUCAUAUGUGGUAUCUUCUUCCUAUAGAUAAAUCCAUUCUGGUAUUCUUAUGCUCGUUCUGGUUGUUUCUAGAUAUGUUCAUUUGCAUUUUGGUCGUCACCCAUAGAGACUUGGUGGUAAACUUGGCGUGUUCGCCCUGUGCGGGUCAGAUCACCAAGGUCCAAGGCGUAAUGUUGGAAGAAAUGGGACUCGGUGAUUUGCUACUGAAUUUAGGAACUUGAACGAAUACUCAAUACUCAUGAUAUUAGUGCUUGCGUGGAGCCAAUUCAGAUCUCGGGCUGUCAUUAGUUGACACAACUAUGAUCCUGGGGUUUUUGGUAUAUGGCUUGUGGUACAACUAUGGGAAACAGCUCUACAAUAGGGACAUAUCUGUGAAGGUACAUUUGUUCGAAGGUUAGUUAAACCCACUGAAAUGCAUGAUCGCUUUAGCUAUGCUAGAUUGUAUUCAAUGUGCAAGUGUCAAACUCUUGUUGCCUCAUGAGACCUUGGUUAGAGAACUUUUUGCUUUCUUGAUAAGUUGGUAGUCUAGCUUUUGAGCACACUUACAUUCUCUGUAUUCAUUGCCAAUGAAAUAAUAUACGAGAGUGAUGAGUUCAUACAUAUAGUCGUAAAGAUAAAGCUCUUAUUGAUCCGG